rnacentral:tRNA from 1 species
GGGCGAGUGGUGAAACUGGUAGACACGCAUGGUUCAGGGCCAUGUGUUCGCGAGAACGUGAGGGUUCGACUCCCUCCUCGCCCA